rnacentral:rRNA from 1 species
AGAGUUUGAUUAUGGCUCAGGAUGAACGCUAGCGACAGGCUUAACACAUGCAAGUCGAGGGGCAGCAUAAAAGUAGCAAUACUUGGUGGCGACCGGCGCACGGGUGAGUAACGCGUAUGCAACCUACCUAUCAGAGGGGAAUAACCCGGCGAAAGUCGGACUAAUACCGCAUAAAACAGGGGCACCGCAUGGUGAUAUUUGUUAAAGAAAUUCGCUGAUAGAUGGGCAUGCGUUCCAUUAGGUAGUUGGUGAGGUAACGGCUCACCAAGCCGACGAUGGAUAGGGGAACUGAGAGGUUGGUCCCCCACACUGGUACUGAGACACGGACCAGACUCCUACGGGAGGCAGCAGUGAGGAAUAUUGGUCAAUGGGCGGGAGCCUGAACCAGCCAAGUCGCGUGAAAGGAAGAAGGAUCUAUGGUUCGUAAACUUCUUUUGCAGGGGAAUAAAGUGCAGGACGUGUCCUGUUUUGUAUGUACCCUGAGAAUAAGGAUCGGCUAACUCCGUGCCAGCCGCUGC